rnacentral:misc_RNA from 1 species
GAUGCAUUUCGGGAUACAUUCAAAUGACAGAUCCCAGGCAACCAGACGCCUGUGGGUUUUUAUAUAAACUUUGAAAAUGGAAUCACUAAGUUAUGUUACAUUGAAAACAGCAAACCAAGCUAGGGAGGCGGAAGAACAAAGGACAGAACAGCGUAAACGAAACCUUCUUGUACUAGUACUUCAUCAUCUAGUAGAUGCAGGGUACAUAGAAUCGGCCAAAGCACUAGAAUCUGAAGGAAAUCUGAGCUUCAGCAGGUUUGAAGUAUGUGAUAAUAUAGAUCUACCUACCAUUCUCAUGGAAUAUGAAUCGUAUUACUAUGUAAAAUUUGGAAAAUAUCCCAAAAUAACCAAGAAAUUGUCAUCAGGUGAUAUUCCUCAACAGAAAGGUGGAAGUGGGAGACGGAAUCGAAAAGGCAGCACUCCAAGCCUUCCAAAAAUCCCCCAUGUUCCAGAGCCAAGGGAUCAGGUUUCGUCAGGGAACUCUGCUUCACGGCGACGGCCAACUUCUUCCAACCCGGCGAUGCGUAAGCAACAAAGUAUUGAAAGGAAACCAAAGCCUGAGGUGAACGGCAAACCCCAACAGGUAAAUGGUAACAUUGACCCCCUGUCUGACUUGGCUGUGUCUGGGUCAACUGUUGCCUCCCCUAAGGGCAAUGAUGCAGAUGGACAUAGAGGAAAUUCUGGAAAACUUCCCCCUCGGAGGGGACCCAUCAUCGACAUGAGGGCUAUGUUGAACAAUGCUGUGAAGGGGGCAACACAAGAGUAUCUCACAGACUCUGAUCCAUCAGAAAGAUUAUUAAAACCAUUAGGCGGCUAUGCCGGCUACUCUCUAGAGUGGCGUGAGUUAGCUCAGAGUAUUAGCAAGGAUAUAUACUUAAACAAUCCUAAUGUACGAUGGGAUGAUAUCAUUGGUCUAGAUGCAGCCAAACGUUUAGUCAAAGAAUCUGUAGUGUACCCUAUAAAGUACCCACAACUCUUCACUGGAAUACUGUCACCGUGGAAAGGUCUGUUAUUAUAUGGUCCACCGGGCACAGGUAAAACACUGCUAGCUAAAGCCGUUGCCACAGAAUGUAACACAACGUUCUUCAACAUAUCAGCAUCUAGCAUUGUGAGCAAGUGGCGAGGAGACUCAGAGAAACUAGUUAGGGUAUUAUUUGAACUAGCAAGAUUUCAUGCUCCAUCCACAAUAUUUCUUGAUGAAUUGGAGUCCCUGAUGAGUCAGAGGGGAUCACUAGCUGGAGGAGAACAUGAGGGCAGUAGGCGGAUGAAAACAGAGCUCUUAGUACAAAUGGAUGGCCUAGCUAAAUCUGAUGAUCUUGUAUUUCUUCUAGCUGCAUCAAAUUUACCUUGGGAAUUAGACCAUGCAAUGUUGCGACGUUUAGAAAAGCGAAUUUUAGUUGAUUUGCCAACGACAGAAGCAAGAGAGAAAAUGAUUGAAUUUCAUCUGCCGUUAGUUCUUAAUCCAGACUGUGUUUUGUCUAUCAAAACUAACCUUGAUUACAUUGACUUAGCCGAAGUAAAAAACAGAAGGAUACUCGGGAUCUGAUUUGAAAUUAGUCUGCAAAGAAGCCGCCAUGAGGCCAGUAAGGAAGGUCUUUGAUAUACUGGAAUCGGCCCAGAUAGAGGAUGAAUCAAUUCCAGAGUUCUCAAUUGAUCCAAUUACAACAGAAGAUGUGGAAGCAGUACUAAAACACACCAAGCCCUCUGCAAGGAUGUUGCAGAAAAAGUACAUGGAAUGGCAGAAGGAAUACGAGUCUG